rnacentral:tmRNA from 1 species
GGGGGCGUAACGGGUUCGACGGGGAUAGUGAGACUGGAUAAGCGGGCAGAGGCCCCGACCUCUUGAAAACGGGAACCUUUAUAAAUUUAACUGAGAACGAUAAUCUCACUCUGGCUGCUGCUUAAUUAGCAGCCCAUCCGCCCCGGAGGGGCCACGGGCCGGUGUGCGGGUGUCAUUUCAGUGGCGAACGUGCGUGCGCAAAGCUUUGCGCGCACCAUGCAUCAUGAAGCUACCAAGCCAUGCAGUGUGACGGUUCACGGCAUGGCAAGGGAAUGUAAAUAACCGUCUGCGCCCGGAGAAAGUCCAGAGGAUCUGUUUUCGGACGGGGGUUCAACUCCCCCCGCCUCCACCA